rnacentral:rRNA from 1 species
CAAGGUUGACCUCGGAUCAGGUAGGGAUACCCGCUGAACUUAAGCAUAUCAAAGGG